rnacentral:rRNA from 1 species
AGUGAACGCUGGUGGUAGGCCUAACACAUGCAAGUCGAACGGCAGCACAGUAAGAGCUUGCUCUUACGGGUGGCGAGUGGCGGACGGGUGAGGAAUACAUCGGAAUCUACCUUUUCGUGGGGGAUAACGUAGGGAAACUUACGCUAAUACCGCAUACGACCUACGGGUGAAAGCAGGGGAUCUUCGGACCUUGCGCGAUUGAAUGAGCCGAUGUCGGAUUAGCUAGUUGGCGGGGUAAAGGCCCACCAAGGCGACGAUCCGUAGCUGGUCUGAGAGGAUGAUCAGCCACACUGGAACUGAGACACGGUCCAGACUCCUACGGGAGGCAGCAGUGGGAAUAUUGGACAAUGGGCGCAAGCCUGAUCCAGCCAUACCGCGUGGGUGAAGAAGGCCUUCGGGUUGUAAAGCCCUUUUGUUGGGAAAGAAAAGCAGCAGGUUAAUACCCCGCUGUUCUGACGGUACCCAAAGAAUAAGCACCGGCUAACUUCGUG